GACGAACGCUGGCGGCGUGCUUAACACAUGCAAGUCGAACGGAAAGGCCCUGCUUUUGUGGGGUGCUCGAGUGGCGAACGGGUGAGUAACACGUGAGUAACCUGCCCUUGACUUUGGGAUAACUUCAGGAAACUGGGGCUAAUACCGGAUAGGAGCUCCUGCUGCAUGGUGGGGGUUGGAAAGUUUCGGCGGUUGGGGAUGGACUCGCGGCUUAUCAGCUUGUUGGUGGGGUAGUGGCUUACCAAGGCUUUGACGGGUAGCCGGCCUGAGAGGGUGACCGGCCAAAUGGGGACUGAGAUACGGCCCAGACCCCUCCGGGAGGCAGCAGUGGGGAAUAUUGCACAAUGGGCGGAAGCCUGAUGCAGCAACGCCGCGGGCGGGAUGACGGCCUUCGGGUUGUAAACCGCUUUAGCCUGUGACGAAGCGUGAGUGACGGUAAUGGGUAAAGAAGCACCGGCUAACUACGUG
rnacentral:rRNA from 1 species